AGAAGCAGGGCUUCUGUGGUGGGCAUAUAGGUUCAGAUUACAAACUAGCCAUGGGAGUUGUAGCAAAAGCUAUGGUACUGAGCGCAUGUGGAAAAGGCAACAUUCUCAUAA
rnacentral:ncRNA from 1 species